UUCGGGUUGUAAAGCACUUUCAGUAGGGAGGAAGGUAGUGUAGUUAACACCUGCAUUAUUUGACGUUACCUACAGAAGAAGCACCGGCUAACUCCGUGCCAGCAGCCGCGGUAAUACGGAGGGUGCGAGCGUUAAUCGGAAUUACUGGGCGUAAAAGCGCAUGCAGGCGGCCUGUUAAGUCAGAUGUGAAAAGCCCGGGCUUAAACCUCGGAAAUUGCAUUUGAAAAACUGGCAGGCUAGAGUCUUGUAGAGGGGGUAGAAUUUCAGGUGUAGCGGUGAAAAUGCGUAGAGAUCUGAAGGAAUACCGGUGGCGAAGGCGGCCCCUGGACAGAUACUGACACUCAGAUGCGAAAGCGUGGGGAGCAAACAGGAUUAGAUACCCUGGUAG
rnacentral:rRNA from 1 species